rnacentral:tRNA from 1 species
CACCAGAUGACUGAAAGUAAGUAAUGGCCUCUUAAACCAUUUUAUAAUAAUUACACCACUUCUGAUGA